AUUGAACGCUGGCGGCAGGCCUAACACAUGCAAGUCGAGCGGAGCGGCGGACGGGUGAGUAAUGCCUAGGAAUCUGCCUGGGAGUGGGGGAUAACGUCAGGAAACGGGAGCUAAUACCGAAUACUAUCAGAAGAGCCUAGGUCGGAUUAGCUAGUGGGUGGGGGAAAGGCCUACCAAGGCGAAGAUCCGUAACUGGUCCUAGAGGAUGAUCAGUCACACUGGAACUUAGACACGGUCCAGACUCCUACGGGAGGCAGCAGUGGGGAAUAUUGGAAAAUGGGCGAAAGCCUGAUCCAGCCAUGCCGCGUGUGUGAAGAAGGUCUUCGGAUUGUAAAGCACUUUAAGUUGGGAGGCGUUACCAACAGAAUAAGCACCGGCUAACUUCGUGCCAGCAGCCGCGGUAAUUC
rnacentral:rRNA from 1 species